GUACGAAGGGGGCUAGCGUUGCUCGGAAUCACUGGGCGUAAAGCGCACGUAGGCGGAUCUUUAAGUCAGGGGUGAAAUCCUGGAGCUCAACUCCAGAACUGCCUUUGAUACUGGGGAUCUCGAGUCCGGAAGAGGUGAGUGGAACUCCGAGUGUAGAGGUGAAAUUCGUAGAUAUUCGGAAGAACACCAGUGGCGAAGGCGGCUCACUGGUCCGGUACUGGACGCUGAGGUGCGAAAGCGUGGGGAGCAAACAGGG
rnacentral:rRNA from 1 species